GUGGAUUAGAUACCCUGGUAGUCCACGCUGUAAACGAUGAAUACUAGGUGUCGGGUCGAAAGGUUCGGUACCGAAGCUAACGCAUUAAGUAUUCCACCUGGGGAGUACGAUCGCAAGGUUGAAACUCAAAGGAAUUGACGGGGGCCCGCACAAGCAGUGGAGCAUGUGGUUUAAUUCGAUGCAACGCGAAGAACCUUACCUAGGCUUGAAAUGCAGUAGACCGGGUAUGAAAGUACCCUUCCCUUCGGGGCUGCUGUACAGGUGCUGCACGGUCGUCGACAACU
rnacentral:rRNA from 1 species